rnacentral:rRNA from 1 species
UCUACGGGAGGCAGCAGUGAGGAAUCUUGGUCAAUGGACGAGAGUCUGACCCAGCCACGUAGCGUGAAGGAUGACUGCCCUAUGGGUUGUAAACUUCUUUUAUAUGGGAGUAAAAUGUUCCACGUGUGGGUUUUUGUAUGUACCAUAUGUAUAAGGAUCGGCUCACUCCGUUCCAGCAGCCGCGGUAAUACGGAGGAUCCGAGCGUUAUACGGAUUUGUUUGGUUUAAAGGGAGCGUAGGUGGAUUUUUAAGUCAGUUGUGAAAGUUUGCGGCUCAACCGUAAAAUUACAGUUGAGACUGGCAGUCUUGAGUACAGAAGAGGUGGGCGGAAUUCGUGGUGUAGCGGUGAAAUGCGUAGAGAGAACGAAGAACUCCGAUGGCGAAGGCAGCUCACUGGACUGCAACUGACACUGAGGCUCGAAAGUGUGGGUAUCAAACAGGAUUAGAUACCCUUGUAGUC